rnacentral:rRNA from 1 species
UACAGAGGUCUCAAGCGUUGUUCGGAUUCAUUGGGCGUAAAGGGUGUGUAGGUGGCGCGCUAAGUCGGGUGUGAAAUUUCGGAGCUUAACUCCGAAACUGCAUUCGAUACUGGCGUGCUUGAGGACUGGAGAGGAGACUGGAAUUUACGGUGUAGCAGUGAAAUGCGUAGAUAUCGUAAGGAAGACCAGUGGCGAAGGCGGGUCUCUGGGCAGUAACUGACGCUGAGGAGCGAAAGCGUGGGGAGCGAACAGG